rnacentral:rRNA from 1 species
AUUGAACGCUGGCGGCAGGCCUAACACAUGCAAGUCGAGCGGAUGACGGGAGCUUGCUCCUGGAUUCAGCGGCGGACGGGUGAGUAAUGCCUAGGAAUCUGCCUGGUAGUGGGGGACAACGUUUCGAAAGGAACGCUAAUACCUCAUACGUCCUACGGGAGAAAGCAGGGGACCUUCGGGCCUUGCGCUAUCAGAUGAGCCUAGGUCGGAUCAGCUUGUUGGUGAGGUAAUGGCUCACCAAGGCGACGAUCCGUAACUGGUCUGAGAUGAUGAUCAGUCAGACGGGAACGGAGAAACGUUCCAGUCUCCUACGGGAGGCAGCAGUGGUGAAGAUUGGAGAAUGGGCGAAAGCCUUAUCCAGCCAUGCCGCGUGUGUGAAGAAGGUCUUCGGAUUGUAAAGCACUUUAAGUUGGGAGGAAGGGUUGUAGAUUAAUACUCUGCAAUUUUGACGUUACCGACAGAAUAAGCACCGGCUAACUCUGUGCCAGCAGCCGCGGUAA